GGAUUGAGCCCUGGCACCACACAAGGUGGCCCAGGCCUCCAAUGACAGCAGAGGGCAAAGCUCUCAGUGCAUGCGAUGGUGCACAGGGCCACCUGCAAGCGGCAGCCCCAGCUGAGUCAGUGGCCUAGGAGGCCAUGCCCAUGAGGAGCAACUCGGAUGACAGGACGAGGACAGCCCAUCCAGGCCAUGGAGUCAUGAGCUGUUGGGGAAAGGAUUCCCACAGGGGAGGGGAGCUACCCCAGCUGUGAGGUAGUUUAUCCUCGGGAAAGUUUGAGCUAACCAGUUGUUGAGGCACCUUAUACUUUGUAGGAGAGUGCCUCCUAGUCUGUAACACUGCACCUUAUAUUUUGUGGACAUUUUAACUUUGUUUAUUAGUUGUUUAAUAGAGUGUUAUGUAUAAACUUCUUAAGGGAUACUGCUGGGACCCCUUCCCUGAUAGUUAUAUAUACUUACUUAUAGAUAUUUGUGUUUUGACUGUUGUUUAAUUGUAUUUAUAUGUACUCACCUGUACUUACCUGUUGUCUGUCUAUUUUAGAUCAACUGUUUGUCAACACAUUGCUAAGGGCUACCUGGACUGGUGUAAUCUUUCAGCCUUUAUCUG